rnacentral:rRNA from 1 species
CAGCAGCCGCGGUAACACGAAGGGUGCAAGCGUUAAUCGGAAUUACUGGGCGUAAAGCGUGCGUAGGCGGUGAGUUAAGUCUGCUGUGAAAUCCCCGGGCUCAACCUGGGAAUGGCAGUGGAUACUGGCUCGCUAGAGUGUGUCAGAGGAUGGUGGAAUUCCCGGUGUAGCGGUGAAAUGCGUAGAGAUCGGGAGGAACAUCAGUGGCGAAGGCGGCCAUCUGGGACAACACUGACGCUGAGGCACGAAAGCGUGGGGAGCAAACAGGAUUAGAGACCCCGGUAGUCCCUGUCUCUUAUAC